rnacentral:rRNA from 1 species
GACGAACGCUGGCGGCGUGCCUAAUACAUGCAAGUAGAACGCUGAAGAGAGGAGCUUGCUCUUCUUGGAUGAGUUGCGAACGGGUGAGUAACGCGUAGGUAACCUGCCUUGUAGCGGGGGAUAACUAUUGGAAACGAUAGCUAAUACCGCAUAACAAUGGAUGACACAUGUCAUUUAUUUGAAAGGGGCAAUUGCUCCACUACAAGAUGGACCUGCGUUGUAUUAGCUAGUAGGUGAGGUAACGGCUCACCUAGGCGACGAUACAUAGCCGACCUGAGAGGGUGAUCGGCCACACUGGGACUGAGACACGGCCCAGACUCCUACGGGAGGCAGCAGUAGGGAAUCUUCGGCAAUGGGGGCAACCCUGACCGAGCAACGCCGCGUGAGUGAAGAAGGUUUUCGGAUCGUAAAGCUCUGUUGUAAGUCAAGAACGAGUGUGAGAGUGGAAAGUUCACACUGUGACGGUAGCUUACCAGAAAGGGACGGCUAACUACGUGCCAGCAGCCGCGGUAAUACGUAGGUCCCGAGCGUUGUCCGGAUUUAUUGGGCGUAAAGCAAGCGCAGGCGGUUUGAUACGUCUGAAGUUAAAGGCUGUGGCUCAACCAUAGUUCGCUUUGGAAACUGUCAAACUUGAGUGCAGAAGGGGAGAGUGGAAUUCCAUGUGUAGCGGUGAAAUGCGUAGAUAUAUGGAGGAACACCGGUGGCGAAAGCGGCUCUCUGGUCUGUAACUGACGCUGAGGCUCGAAAGCGUGGGGAGCGAACAGGAUUAGAUACCCUGGUAGUCCACGCCGUAAACGAUGAGUGCUAGGUGUUGGAUCCUUUCCGGGAUUCAGUGCCGCAGCUAACGCAUUAAGCACUCCGCCUGGGGAGUACGACCGCAAGGUUGAAACUCAAAGGAAUUGACGGGGGCCCGCACAAGCGGUGGAGCAUGUGGUUUAAUUCGAAGCAACGCGAAGAACCUUACCAGGUCUUGACAUCCCGAWRCUAKUUCUAGAGAUAGAAAGUUACUUCGGUACAUCGGUGACAGGUGGUGCAUGGUUGUCGUCAGCUCGUGUCGUGAGAUGUUGGGUUAAGUCCCGCAACGAGCGCAACCCCUAUUGUUAGUUGCCAUCAUUCAGUUGGGCACUCUAGCGAGACUGCCGGUAAUAAACCGGAGGAAGGUGGGGAUGACGUCAAAUCAUCAUGCCCCUUAUGACCUGGGCUACACACGUGCUACAAUGGUUGGUACAACGAGUUGCGAGUCGGUGACGGCAAGCUAAUCUCUUAAAGCCAAUCUCAGUUCGGAUUGUAGGCUGCAACUCGCCUACAUGAAGUCGGAAUCGCUAGUAAUCGCGGAUCAGCACGCCGCGGUGAAUACGUUCCCGGGCCUUGUACACACCGCCCGUCACACCACGAGAGUUUGUAACACCCGAAGUCGGUGAGGUAACCUGUUGGAGCCAGCCGCCUAAGGUGGGAUAGAUGAUUGGGGUG